UGCAAGACUUAUCUGGUUUACGUUUUUUUUUUUUUUUUACUAAGAGCAUUAUCGUAUACAAUAAUUUGACCUACAUAAAUGUAUAAAAAAUAUUGUAUUAAUUAGAAAAUAUUUUACUUUUUCCAGGUGUUACCAGGUCUUUAUGUUGGUAAUUAUCGUGAUAGUAAAGAUCAAGUACAAUUAGAACAAUUUCAAAUAACACAUAUUUUAUCAAUUCAUGAUGCUGCACGUAGACUUCACUCUGAUAAACAUUCUUUAUGCAGCUGAUACACCAGAUCAAAAUUUAACACAAUAUUUUUCACUUUGUAAUGAUUUAAUUCAGUCUGCUCGUCUUCGUGGAGGAAAUGUAUUGAUAAAUUCGAUACAAUGCCAAAUUUUUAAAAUAACGAUGAUGCCCGAACUGUUAAAACAUCAUCAACUGGUUUUAUACUCACGAAUUCAGUAACUAGAAAGCCAAGAAGAAGGGCUUAAUCAAAUAUACUUGUCGAUCCUCUUGGUCUUUUGGGAAAUAUAUUAAAACCCGCUAAAGAAAUUGUCCGACAAGUUCAGAGAGCCAAGAAGAAGAGGUAAAUCAAGUAUUCUUGAUGAUCCUCUUGGUCUUUUGGGGACAACAUCAAAAUCUACUGAAGAAAUUGUCCAACAAGUUCAGCCUAAAGUUGACGUGAAAAAAUCAGUAAAUGCAUUACCACAAGAUGAUCUACCAGAAUGAUUAAGUGCUACAAAAAGAACAACAAAUUCUGAAACAUUAGAUGAUAAAAUUAAUAAUAAAGAAGCUGAAGUACCAAAUUUAACAUCAACAUUUGAUGUAAAAAAUAAUACAAAUGAUAAAAAUACUAAAAAUAAAUGUAAUAAUAAUUUAUCAUUGUUAACUGGAACCCAGCUUUAACAAGCUUUAAUUGUUGUUAUUUAUCAACAAGAACAUGAACUUCGUACUGCCAAAAUAUUAACAGAACAUAG